rnacentral:lncRNA from 1 species
CGUGAGAAAAUGUAAAAACAAGAUGACAGUGGAGAUCCAUAAUAUUUUGUUUGAACCCUAAUUUCCCAAAAUUCAUUUUCAACAAUACAUUCUCUCGAUAAAAUAAUUUUAUAUGUAAAUACAAUUUUUCCUUUUUUUUUUUAACCAUGCAUUCUUCUAAAAUUCACUAUUCCAAAAUCGAUUAACCCCCAAAAAAUGGGGUCAAACAAGGGCUAAAGUUUCCAUUUCUUUGUUGAUGUUGCUGUUUCUUGUGCGCAUGCCAGGGGUGGGCUCUCUCAUAAAGAUAUAUUGCAAUUUAGGUAUGGAAAAGGCAAAGUAUAUUAAAGAAAUGUCUUCUGAAGGAAUCAAUCCUGUGGAUAAAACAUUCAUAAUGCGUAAAUGAAAUAUAAUCUUAAGAUUAAAGUAAUGAUAAAGGAAAUCAGCUAGAUGUGAUUGAAAAGUGAAAUUGAUGACGGACCAUACACUGGGCUUUCUUUUGACAGGUAUUCUUAUUGCAGUUGGGAAUGUCCUGAAAAUAUAACGGCGAAGUUCUAAAAUGAUGUCUUGACUUCUGCAGAUGCUAUUCAAGGGUUUCCCAGAAAAGUGUGAUGCUUUAAAGAAGUUGAGAAUGGGCGUGAUGGAAAGGGUAUCUUCAGCAAGGUGGGCAACCGAGUGGGAGGAAAAUGCUAAGCCCUUAAUAUCUAAGGCAAGUCAACUAUCCUUAAUCUGGAGUUUUCGGUUACUCUCUUCUACAUCUUCUGUUACGAAGUUUUCAAGUGAAACUUAUUCAGGCUUUGAGAUCUUUUUGCCAUUGAUUUAAUCCUAUACUAGAUCACUGAAUCAAUGAUAAUAUGCACUAUUUCAGGUCAUUUCUGAGAACUUCAGCUGAAGGUGCAGGAGUGUAACAUAAAAAAUUUUCGAGUUUGAAAUUUUCUUUAUGCAUUUAUAGGUAGAUAUACCCUAACUCAUCAAGUCUCUGGUCGGGAGGGGACUACUCUUGCUCCCCUGCGGCCCUGCCUGCCCCCUAGAUUUGUUGGGACAGCAUACAAAUUUUUCU